rnacentral:rRNA from 1 species
AUACGUAGGGUGCGAGCGUUGUCCGGAAUUACUGGGCGUAAAGAGCUCGUAGGUGGUUCGUCGCGUCGUCUGUGAAAUUCCGGGGCUUAACUCCGGGCGUGCAGGCGAUACGGGCAUAACUUGAGUACUGUAGGGGAGACUGGAAUUCCUGGUGUAGCGGUGAAAUGCGCAGAUAUCAGGAGGAACACCGGUGGCGAAGGCGGGUCUCUGGGCAGUAACUGACGCUGAGGAGCGAAAGCAUGGGUAGCGAACAGGAUUAGAUACCCUGGUAGUCCAUGCCGUAAACGGUGGGCGCUAGGUGUAGGGGUCUUCCACGACUUCUGUGCCGUAGCUAACGCAUUAAGCGCCCCGCCUGGGGAGUACGGCCGCAAGGCUAAAACUCAAAUGAAUUGACGGGG